rnacentral:rRNA from 1 species
UCGAGCGAACACCUUGACGGAUUUCUUCGGAAUGAAGUUUUGGCGUCUGAGCGGCGGACGGGUGAGUAACGCGUGGGUAACCUGCCUCAUACAGGGGGAUAACAGUUGGAAACGGCUGCUAAUACCGCAUAAGCGCACAGUACUGCAUGGUACCGUGUGAAAAACUCCGGUGGUAUGAGAUGGACCCGCGUCUGAUUAGCUAGUUGGUGGGGUAACGGCCUACCAAGGCGACGAUCAGUAGCCGACCUGAGAGGGUGACCGGCCACAUUGGGACUGAGACACGGCCCAAACUCCUACGGGAGGCAGCAGUGGGGAAUAUUGCACAAUGGGGGAAACCCUGAUGCAGCGACGCCGCGUGAGCGAUGAAGUAUUUCGGUAUGUAAAGCUCUAUCAGCAGGGAAGAAAAUGACGGUACCUGACUAAGAAGCCCCGGCUAACUACGUGCCAGCAGCCGCGGUAAUACGUAGGGGGCAAGCGUUAUCCGGAUUUACUGGGUGUAAAGGGAGUGUAGACGGCAUGGCAAGCCAGAUGUGAAAGCCCGGGGCUCAACCCCGGGACUGCAUUUGGAACUGUCAGGCUAGAGUGUCGGAGAGGAAAGCGGAAUUCCUAGUGUAGCGGUGAAAUGCGUAGAUAUUAGGAGGAACACCAGUGGCGAAGGCGGCUUUCUGGACGAUGACUGACGUUGAGGCUCGAAAGCGUGGGGAGCAAACAGGAUUAGAUACCCUGGUAGU